rnacentral:lncRNA from 8 species
ACAAGCCAUUUAAGCAGUGACAGUGCCUUUGGAAUGGAAGUCCGGUUUUGAAAGGACCAUAAUGUCUUCAUUCAUGUUAGACACAUAAAGGAAACUGCUGACUGUUUUGAAAUUCAUAAAAUUGGAAAGCGAGGGAGGGAGUGUAUAGAAAACGUGGGGGUGGUGGACCUAAAGUCCUCAAAAAUGAAUCGCACUCUUAUUCAGCAGUUUUGGACCAAAUGGAGUAUUAGACUAGGACUUUUCUUUUGGACUUGAGCCUGGCUUCUAUCCAGCUUGCAAUAGCAUUCUCUUUCAAUGGGCCAUAGAAUUGAUGGAAAUAAUCCCAAUCCUUUUAUUUCACAUCCUCUCUUCUUUGACUACAAGACUCUGAUCCCAGUAGUGCAGCCUGGACUGACUCACCAGCUGGUGGUGGGAAUAUAUGAGAGAGGGGAAAAAAGAGAGAAGAUAAAGGGAAGAGAAUCCAGUGACUGAUUAGCCUGAGCCGUAGAGCUGAGCCUGUAGCAAGAGGAUUGGGAAUGGUCGGAUUUAAGAAUAUGCCAAUAACUCAUUUCCAAACAAAUAAACAGCAGUAACAGAUACAGGGAGCCAUAGAAGGGGCAGGGAGUGAAACUGGCAUUUAUUUCCAACAAUGCAUCAGAUUUGAAGAACUGUUUGCUAUCUGAGCCAAAGAACCACUCUGUGAAGCGAGCAUGAUUUGUCUGUCCUCAUAAAAUCUAUCCUCAUGAGGUGGGAGUCUGUACUUUCCCUGCACAGUCGCACCACGCUUCGCUCCACAGGUAAUGUUACACUUCACUACAUUACAACGGCUUGAUUUGUUUGAUCUGAGCAAUUCUUCUUAGCUAGCUACAUAGCCGUCUUUGUAUGAAAGAUAAUUGUGUAGUUUAGAGUAACUGAGUAAUUAUCGUGGCUAGCUAUCUUCGUCCUCCUAACGUAGUCAACACUGCUAGCUGCUAGCUAGCUAGUCAUCACUGCUAGCUAGCCAACUUCUACCGACUAGCAGCACCGCAGAAACUAUUACAUUACAACGUAACGACGUAACGACUUGAUUAGUGUGGUGUUAGUGUUAGUUAGCCAGCUACAUAGUUGUCUUUGCUGUCUCUGUAUCUAAGAUAAUUCUAAGAUAAUUGUGUAGUUUGAGUUUGAGUAUUAUCGAGGUGAGCUAGCCAGCCGCGACGCGGCGCCAGACUUACUCAACACACCUAGUCAUCAUUAACCCACUGCCAGCUAGCCAACCGUUACCGACUAGCAGCGCUGUAGAUACUAAUACUUUACAACGGAACGAUUUGACUAGUGCAGUGUUACCUAGCUAGCUACUUAGUUGUCUUUGUCAUAGCUUGAUAAUUGUUAGCUAGCUAGCCAGCCAUCGAGGUUAGCUAGCCAGCUAUUUCCGUCCCCCGCGACGCCAUUCUUCCUAACCCAGCCUACUAUUACCGACGAGCAGCAUUGUUGAAACUAAAUACACUACAAGGAACGUCUUGAUUAGUGUUAUGUUAGCUAGCUAGCUACAAAGUUGCUUUGUAUCAUGACAAGGUGUAGUACUGAAACCACCGAGGUUACCUAGCCAGCUACACGUUCAAAGUCAACAACGCAGCCACUGCUAGCUAGCCUACUCCACCAGCCAGCAAUACUGUAUCAUUUUAGUCAAUAAGAUUUUUGCAACGUAAGCUUAACUUCCUGAACAUUCGAGACGUGUAGUCCACUUGUCAUUCCAAUCUCAUUUGCAUUAGCGUAGCCUCUUCUGUAGCUUGUCUACUAUGUGUCUGUCUAUCCCUGUCCUCUCUCCUCUGCACAGGCCAUACAAACGCUCCACACCGCGUGGCCGCUGCCACUCUAACCUGUUUAGGAUAGGGGGCAGUAUUGACACGGCUGGAUAAAAAACAUACCCGAUUUAAUCUGGUUACCACUCCUACCCAGUAACUAGAAUAUGCAUAUACUUAUUACAUAUGGAUAGAAAACACCCUACAUUUUCUAAAACUGUUUGAAUGGUGUCUGUGAGUAUAACAGAACUCAAAUGGCAGGUCAAAACCUGAGAGAUUCCUUUA